ensembl:lncRNA
GGAGAACACAGAAGGGACGGCACACUCGCGCAUUCAUUCUCCAAGGGUUCAGAGUCCAGACGCUGUGGGUGGAAAAGCCUCUUCCUUUCCUCUCUCAAGGAGAUGUAUCCUGCUCUCCACUUCAAAAGGGAAAUGUAGCUCAACAUGGACUAACAUUAGCCUUAGUGAUCGGAUAACACCGCAUGAAAACGUUAUUCUUUACUCUCAUCAGUGCUAAAAUAUUAGUUGUGCAUACUACAGCAUGCAUGAUACAAAAUCUCGUAUAAAAGUGUGAAGGAGUCCGAAAUUUGCGACAGGACCUGAAGGAAAAACAACAUGGAUGAAACAUGAACAGCUUUGAGAGGCUUAGCAGGAGCUUAGCGCGCGGGUCAAACCACCCUUUGGCCUGCAUCGCUCAGCCGUUUGAAGUGGUGCCAGGCAGGCAGAAUCCCUGCGACUCACCCAGAACGCCCAACAGGGUCACAGAGGAGCCUGGAGCCUAUCCCAGGGAACUCAG